rnacentral:rRNA from 1 species
UUUUAUCAGAGAGUUUGAUCCUGGCUCAGGAUGAACGCUGGCGGCGUGCUUAACACAUGCAAGUCGAGCGAAGCAGUUAAGAAGAUUCUUCGGAUGAUUCUUAACUGACUGAGCGGCGGACGGGUGAGUAACGCGUGGGUGACCUGCCCCAUACCGGGGG